rnacentral:rRNA from 1 species
AGGAAGAAUGGAUGUUCUAACUUGGAUUGUGACGGCUUUGUACCUGUAAACUUGGCUACUAUUACUCCUGGAGAUACUUUGGAGCCAUCUCAUGGACACAUGAAUAUUACAUUGAAGAUAUUUAAGAGUAAAGAAGAUGGAGAUUGGUGGCUACACUUUGGACAUGAUAUCGAUAAUCUUAGCCCAGUAGGGUAUUGGCCAAAAAGUCUUCUCAAUGGCAUGCAAGACCAUGCCGACGAUAUAGAAUGGGUAGGAAGUACUUUUUCCUACUCUGGGGAGAUUAGUCCACCGAUGGGCAACGGGCACUGGCCAAGAAGCAAUUCAGCAGCAUCUUUUCGGAAUGUUCAGUAUAUUGAUAGGAAUGGUAAAGGCUAUUAUCCUCCUAUGGGUAGUCUUCAUGCUUUUGAGAGCCACAAACAAUGCUAUCGGACUAGUGUAUUUCAGCUUCAGGUCCAAGGCAACAUGUUCUACUAUGGGGGCCCAGGUGGUUGCACU